rnacentral:rRNA from 1 species
AUGGAUUCCAUCAUGGCUAACGGGACAUGGGAGAUCACUGAGCGUCCCUAUGGUUGCAAACCAUUGGGAUGUAAGUGGGUGUUCAAGAAGAAGCUUAGGCCCGAUGGUAUGAUUGAAAAGUACAAGGCUAGGCUUGUGGCCAAGGGCUAUGACCAGAAAGAAGAGGAAGAUUUCUUUGAUACUUAUUCACCUGUGGCUAGACUAACCACCAUUCGAGUAUUACUCUCGUUGGCGGCCUCGCACGGUCUUCUCGUCCACCAGAUGGAUGUUAAGACGGCUUUUCUGAAUGGAGAGCUAAACGAGGAAAUCUACAUGCAACAGCCAGAUGGCUUUGUGAUAGAUGGUCAGGAAAGAAAGGUGUAUAGGUUGCUGAAAUCUUUAUAUGGCCUGAAGCAAGCACCUAAGCAAUGGCAUGAUAAGUUUAAUACAACUCUGACAUUUGUUGGCUUCGUUGUUAAUGAAGCUGACAAAUGUGUAUAUUAUCGCCAUGGUGGAGGCGAAGGAGUCAUAUUGUGCUUGUAUGUUGAUGACAUACUGAUAUUCGGAACCAACCUCAAAGUCAUUGAGGAGGUCAAGUCGUUUCUGUCUAAGAACUUUGAGAUGAAGGACCUUGGUGUGGCUGAUGUUAUCUUGAACAUCAAGCUACUGAGAGAUAAUGAGGGUGGGAUCACACUUUUGCAAUCCCAUUAUGUUGAGAAGGUGUUGAGCCGUUUUGGAUAUUCGGAUUGCAAACCAUCUCAAACACCAUAUGAUCCUAGUGUGUUGGUCCGAAAGUUCGAAGGCACAGCUAAGGAUCAACUGAGAUACUCUCAAAUCAUUGGUUCACUCAUGUACCUAGCAAGCGCAACGAGGCCUGACAUCGCGUUUGUUGUGAGCAAACUAAGCCGGUUUGUUUCCAAUCCGGGUGAUGUACAUUGGCAUGCUAUUGAGAGAGUUAUGCGCUAUCUGAAAGGUACUAUGAACUAA